rnacentral:rRNA from 1 species
AGGUCGAGCGGUAACAUUUCUAGCUUGCUAGAAGAUGACGAGCGGCGGACGGGUGAGUAAUGCUUGGGAACAUGCCUUGAGGUGGGGGACAACAGUUGGAAACGACUGCUAAUACCGCAUAACGUCUACGGACCAAAGGAGGGGAUCUUCGGACCUUUCGCCUUUAGAUUGGCCCAAGUGAGAUUAGCUAGAUGGUAGGGUAAUGGCUUACCAUGGCGCGUCUCUAGCUGGUUUGAGAGGAUGAUCAGCCACACUGGGACUGAGACACGGCCCAGACUCCUACGGGAGGCAGCAGUGGGGAAUAUUGCACAAUGGGGGAAACCCUGAUGCAGCCAUGCCGCGUGUGUGAAGAAGGCCUUCGGGUUGUAAAGCACUUUCAGUCGUGAGGAAAGGGUUGUAGUUAAUACCUGCAAUCUGUGACGUUAGCGACAGAAGAAGCACCGGCUAACUCCGUGCCAGCAGCCGCGGUAAUACGGAGGGUGCGAGCGUUAAUCGGAAUUACUGGGCGUAAAGCGUGCGUAGGCGGAUGAUUAAGCGAGAUGUGAAAUCCCGGGGCUCAACCUCGGAACUGCAUUUCGAACUGGUCAUCUAGAGUACUGUAGAGGGUGGUGGAAUUUCCAGUGUAGCGGUGAAAUGCGUAGAGAUUGGAAGGAACAUCAGUGGCGAAGGCGGCCACCUGGACAGAUACUGACGCUGAGGCACGAAAGCGUGGGGAGCAAACAGGAUUAGAUACCCUGGUAGUCCACGCCGUAAACGAUGUCAACUAGCUGUUUGUGUCCUUGAGACGUGAGUAGCGUAGCUAACGCGCUAAGUUGACCGCCUGGGGAGUACGGCCGCAAGGUUAAAACUCAAAUGAAUUGACGGGGGCCCGCACAAGCGGU